rnacentral:rRNA from 1 species
GCAAGUCGUACCAGUAGUACCCUAGAGCUUGCUCUCGGGUGACGAGUGGCGGACGGGUGAGUAAUGUCUGGGAAACUGCCCGAUGGAGGGGGAUAACUACUGGAAACGGUAGCUAAUACCGCAUAACGUCGCAAGACCAAAGUGGGGGACCUUCGGGCCUCACACCAUCGGAUGUGCCCAGAUGGGAUUAGCUAGUAGGUGGGGUAAUGGCUCACCUAGGCGACGAUCCCUAGCUGGUCUGAGAGGAUGACCAGCCACACUGGAACUGAGACACGGUCCAGACUCCUACGGGAGGCAGCAGUGGGGAAUAUUGCACAAUGGGCGCAAGCCUGAUGCAGCCAUGCCGCGUGUAUGAAGAAGGCCUUCGGGUUGUAAAGUACUUUCAGCGGGGAGGAAGGCGGUGGAGUUAAUAACUUCACCGAUUGACGUUACCCGCAGAAGAAGCACCGGCUAACUCCGUGCCAGCAGCCGCGGUAAUACGGAGGGUGCAAGCGUUAAUCGGAAUUACUGGGCGUAAAGCGCACGCAGGCGGUCUGUCAAGUCGGAUGUGAAAUCCCCGGGCUUAACCUGGGAACUGCAUUCGAAACUGGCAGGCUAGAGUCUUGUAGAGGGGGGUAGAAUUCCAGGUGUAGCGGUGAAAUGCGUAGAGAUCUGGGAGGAAUACCGGUGGCGAAGGCGGCCCC